CUGUGGCUAAUCUCAAGUCUGAUAAUAAUUCUCAGUGCUCUGUGGAUGUUGUGGAGGAUUCUGUCACAAGCCUCAAGUGCAAGACCCCAACUAGGAGAGCUCUUAGUGGAGUAAAACAUGCAGUGUCAUUGAACAUUGACAAUGAAAAAUAUUUCCAACUCUCCACUAACAAGUUAAGCCAAAAGAGUAGCCAGAAGAGGCAAAAGAUGCAGACUGUUGAAUGUGAUAAUUAACCCUAAUCAAUAUUUGAGUAUAGUUGGAAAAUUACACAUGAUGAUUUGCCUUUUGGUCAUAUAAUGUAUCAACCAGUAUUAAUUUAGGUCUGCUAGCGUUUUGAGUACUAAUAUAUGCCUUAAUGGACAAGUUAUUUGGGUCUUUUAGAAGUAUUGCAAUAUGUGAUAACCAGUAUUGAUUUAUAUAUGCUAGCAUUUUGAGUAC